UCCAUUGAGCCAAAAUAUUACUGAGCUUGAAAAGGUUAAAAAAGGUCGAAAGAGGACAAGAGAAGAACCCAAACACCACCAGUCAUGCACAGCUCUGGGAGAUGAACCAAACAUGAUCUUAUGUAGAGAAAGAGUGGUAACAGGGACGCAGGAUUUCACCCUAACUGCUCCAUCAGAUCUGAGUCUUAAGGGCAGUACCUGCAGCCAGUCGGACGCCGCGGAUGUUUCAGUGGAGACAGCAGCGCAUGGAUGGUGGCAGCUCCCCAG